GAAAUACAGUUCUAUUGGCAAGAGGCGUUCUCUGGAACUACGGUUUUAUCUUCUUCGUCGAUUUGUCAGCUAGCCAACAAUGGUGAUACAACAUAUCCAGUUAGACGAAUCGUGGUGUAGAGACUCUUUGUGGUGCUUCCAUAGAGUCGUUUCGUCUUUAGUUUAUAUCCUGUGAAACGUUACGAGAUGUCUUGAUUCAUCGUCUUUAAUAAACAUCUUAACUCAAUCAACGCACAUCAAGAACGGAAUUUCAAUCAAUGAUACUUAUCCAUGUUCUAGGUGGUAAAUCCACCUAUAAAAAGAUAGUCAUCGUCUUCUCCAAAUCGAUUCAUCGCAGCCCUAGUACUCCAGCUGAAUCCAAGCGCCGUUAACUCAAGCGUCGUUGAAUCAACGUAUUCACUAAAAUCAGCUCUCCACUCUCACGAAUCACGAUCUCCAUUACUUCUUUAACCUCUUUUGUGCAAUAAGAAUGUCUAAGAUAGUUCACCAACAAAAUCACGUAAAGGUUUUAUUCCAACAGAAAAUGAUGCACAAGUAUGUCUACAUACACGAAAGCUACUGCGAUCAACAAGAGCUUGCAAAUAUUUCCAGGAGCUUCGAUUCAACCUUCUAAAAGAUGCUGUCAAGGAAGGUCUAUUGCAUUUCCAGAAAGGUAGCGUUUCCACAAGAAAUCUUAAUGACCAUCAACAUCGUCCAUGACUAGCAGAGGAGUAUAGUUCCAAUUCUAACGCAAAAAAAAAAAAAAAAACUACUUCAAGAAGAAUAGUGUGCACACAGGUAGAAUAAUGUUUCUCUGAACCGUUCCUUCAAUUUUUUUUACUGAACAGCCAA